rnacentral:tRNA from 1 species
GGAUUGUGGCUCAGCGGUAGAGCGCUCGCCUAGCACUGGUGUGACCUGGGUUCCAUUCUCAGCACCA